rnacentral:lncRNA from 1 species
AAGGACUCUUCCUCUUCUUAAUGCAUAAAUGAGGGUGGUGGCAUUUUUUUUUGGCAUAAACACUACGGUGGCAUGGAGGAGUCCUUUCACACUUGAAACUCUUUCAAAUUAGAUAGGAGUCCCAUUAAAAUAGACCUAAUUCAAUCAGAUCAAAGGUAAUAGGUUUGGUUUAGCUCAAAUACUUUAAACUUAACCUAAUUGGAAAUUUGGCCUAACACAAUAUGCUAGCA